AAGUCGUAACAAGGUUUCCGUAGGUGAACCUGCGGAAGGAUCAUUACCAAUUUUAGCGGACCUGAUCUUUGGUCAUGGUCUCGCGAAAACUUGUAUUUAAAACCCCACUCUUAUAAAUUGAAUCAUUUUAUUAUAUGUAUAAUAAAUAAAGAUCACUUUCAACAACGGAUCUCUUGGCUCUC
rnacentral:misc_RNA from 1 species